rnacentral:lncRNA from 1 species
UAAAACUUACAAUCCAGAUUACGAUGAGGACCUGGUGCAGGAAGCUUCAUCUGAAGAUGUCCUGGGCGUUCAUAUGGUGGACAAAGACACAGAGAGAGACAUUGAGAUGAAACGGCAACUACGGCGACUACGGGAGCUCCACCUAUACAGCACAUGGAAGAAGUACCAAGAGGCGAUGAAGACAUCCUUGGGAGUUCCACAAUGUGAGCGUGACGAAGGCUCCUUGGGCAAGCCAUUGUGUCCACCCGAGAUACUCUCGGAGACGUUGCCAGGCUCUGUGAAGAAAAGGGUAUGCUUUCCAUCAGAAGAUCAUCUAGAGGAGUUUAUAGCAGAACAUCUCCCUGAAGCAUCCAAUCAGAGUCUCCUCACUGUUGCCCAUGCAGACACAGGCAUCCAAACCAACGGUGACCUGGAAGACCUGGAGGAGCAUGGGCCAGGGCAGACAGUCUCUGAGGAAGCCACAGAAGUUCACAUGAUGGAGGGGGACCCAGACACACUGGCCGAACUUCUGAUCAGGGAUGUACUUCAGGAGCUGUCCAGUUACAACGGCGAGGAGGAGGACCCAGAGGAGGUGAAGACAUCCUUGGGAGUUCCACAACGUGGUGACCUGGAAGACCUGGAGGAGCAUGUGCCAGGGCAGACAGUCUCUGAGGAAGCCACAGGGGUUCACAUGAUGCAGGUGGACCCAGCCACGCCGGCAAAGAGUGACCUGGAAGACCUGGAGGAGCAUGUGCCAGGGCAGACAGUCUCUGAGGAAGCCACAGGGGUUCACAUGAUGCAGGUGGACCCAGCCACACUGGCAAAGCAAUUGGAAGACUCCACCAUUACAGGCAGCCACCAGCAGAUGUCAGCAAGUCCUUCCUCUGCACCUGCAGAAGAAGCAACAGAAAAGACCAAAGUGGAAGAGGAAGUGAAAACCAGAAAGCCCAAGAAGAAAACCAGGAAGCCCAGCAAGAAAAGCCGGUGGAAUGUCCUGAAAUGUUGGGACAUUUUUAAUAUAUUUUAGAGACCUCUGAAGAUUCCUCGACCACCAGGAAGGGCCCCGACGUGGGGAUGUCAACAUGGCUCAGACUUGAUGUGGAUCGUGAUCAUUUCGGGAAAUGUGUUACUCCAAAAACUUUUAUAAUCUUUGCUUAAUUUGUUUUUAAAUACUUUCCUGGCUGGGCGUGGUGGCUUAUGCCUGUAAUCCCAGCACUUUGGGAGGCCGAGGCGGGUGGAUCACCUGAGGUCAGGAGUUAAAGACCAGCCUGGCCAACAAGGUGAAACCCCGUCUCUACUAAAAAUACAAAAAUUAGCUAGGCGUGGUGGCGCACUCUUGUAGUCCCAGCUAUUUGGGAGGCUGAGGCAGGAGAAUCACUUGACCUCAGGAGGCGGAGGUUGCAGUGAGCCGAGAUCAUGCCACUGCACCCCAGCACCUGGCUACAGAGUGAGACUUUGUCUCAAAAAAAAAAAAAAAAGAACAAAAAAAUUCUGACUUUAACCUCUGUUUUUCAGAGGGCACAAAUUGUUCUUGUAUUGUUUCCAUUUUACAUUUUUUUCUUGAAGUUAUUUUCCAAUUGUUUUCAUUCUUUCUGAAGUUUUGUUUACUCGGUUUUAAGUUUUUGUAAUUUUGAUAGACUUUUGUGCUUUCAUUUUCUUAAUGACUUUUACCUCAUUUUUAAAACAAAUCCAUAGUAUGGAUGAUAUUGAUGAUGAAAUGUCUUACGAUGAUCAUUUAGAGGUUUAUUUUGAACAACUGGCAAUUCCAGGAAUGAUGGAAUAAAGCAUACGAAGUAGAAGGACUGGAACCUCCAGAAAAAGUACUUUAAGUUACCUACAGGUGAUCCUAGUCAGGUAUGAAUUGAUAAGAAAUGCCUGCACCUUCCCUCCUUCCUAUCUUUCCCUUGCCUACAGAAAAUUAAAAGGCAAAACAAUAGACAUCUGCAUAUUCUUCAUUCAGAUCAACCAGUGGCUAGCAUUUGCCACCUUUUGCAGUUUCUUUCUCUUUCCAUAAGUACUUUCUUCUCUGAAUCAUUUGAAAGCAAAUGAAAACAGUAGCCUAAAGUGUCAGUUUCAACCAGAAAAUAACAGCUCUGAUUUCUCAUGGCUCAUACUCGUCUGAAACGACUCAGGUAGAGGCUGAGGAAGGCCGUGUUGUUUGUCUACCUGGGACUACACCUACUGAAAGAAGUUCUCAAGUUCUGAUUGAGUUCUAAAAUUUUUUGAAGAUUGGAAUUCUUCAUAUGGCACCAUGGGCCCGGCACUGCCACGUUUUCCAAGGAACCUGCCGGAGCUCCUGCGGAAGCUGCUCCUCAGGCGAUGGAGUCCCUUCGCUGGUAGGCCCUUCUUCAGUCACCACAGGAUGCCUGCCAUUCAUGAACAAGAAGGAGAGGACGGGCUUUGAAUAAAAAACAGGAUCCAGGAAAUAUUUGUGAGGCCAUUUGGACUUCAGUGUGAAAUGGUGUUAAAAGAUGAAGUCAUUUAUUCAAGAAGUAAACCUCUGCCACCUGGACUGUGCGCAGACAUUUCAUUGAUUUUGUUUAAUAAACAUUUUCUGGCUUUGGGAGGUGUCUCUCUUGGUAGAACACAGUGUCAAAGAUGGACAAGAUGGACACAUAGUCCAUUAUUUGGUAUUGUUUGUGUAUGGGAGCAGACCACAAAUUAAUGUUUGGAGAACAAUUUUGUCAUAACACACUGUUGAGGCUCAGUUGUACAGAACUGGAAAAGUCUUCAGCUUGGCACAUGUCCUGAUUCAGCCUUUGUUUAACAUAUAUUCCAAUCCGGAUUCUAUCUUCACUGGCUACAAAGACCACCUGAUACGUGCACCACGACACAGGAGCUGCUGGAGAGGGGGUAGUGUUAUCACCUCAAACCCACAGCCAUAUUUUUCAAAAGCCAGCUUAGAGAGAGGUGUACUGAUAGCUGCAUAGAGAACAUGCAGUCCAUCCAUUCUUCCCAGUGAUGUACAUUUCUCAAUCAGUAACCACGUGGUAUACCAGCCUUGAGUGUCACAUCUCCCAACCAUACCAAAUGGAUCACCUAACUGGAGGUGGGGGGGGCCCUCAGAAAUGAGAUUUCGUAUUUACUGUAAAAUUGCCUUAUUUUUUCUUUUGAGGUGGAGUCUCACUCUGUUGCCUGGGCUGGAGUGCAAUGGUGUGAUCACUGCUCACUGCAACCUCCGCCUCCUGGGUUCAAGCAGUUCUCCUGCCUCAGCCUCCCAAGUAGCUGCAAUUACAGGUGCAUGCCACCACUCCCAGCAAAUUUUUAUAUUUUUAGUGGAGACAGGGUUUCACCAUGUUGACCAGGCUGGUCUCAAACUCCUGACCUCAGGUGAUCUGCCCACCUUGGCCUCCCAAAGUUCUGGGAUUAAAGGUACGAGCCACCGCAACUGGCUGAGAAUCUUUUUAUUUGCUGAUUUGUCUCUUGUGUAUUUUCUUUGUUCAGAUGUCUCUUCAGAUCUUUUUCUCACUUUUAAAUUGUUUUUUAAUUGUUAAGAAUUUUCUGUCUAGUUUAGAUAUAAGCCCUUUAUCAGACAUGUGUUUUGCAAAUAUUUUCUCCUAGUCUGUGGCUUGUAUUCUGUCUCUUAACACUCAUUUUAUUUUUACUUUUGGAACUAAAGAAGAAGAAUGGUCAGCUUUCCAUUAUUCUUGUAACAGUAAUGGCAGAACCAAGUCUGCUAAUGCUACACUGAGCAAAGAAAGUCACCUGGUGAAGUCCAACAUUAAUGAAAUGGGGUAGUACAUGCAGGCAGCGUUGGGGGUGGGGAGGGAACAAAUGCUUCUUGAGAGUAAUAUAAUCUGCCAUACCAUCCAGGAACCUACAAUGGCUAUCUAUUACCUUAUUCUCUGGUUUGUUUAAUGUUCGAAUCUUUCCGAAAGAUCCUUCAACCUUUCUGGAAGAAUCUAAUCUGAUAACACCAUCAAAAACACAUUACUUCUUUUGGCAUAAUUUAAAUUGUAAGACAUCAUUCACAUUUAUCAAUGUUACAUAUAUAAGAACUCACCCACCAUAUUCUUCCUUGAGGAAUUACAGCAUGUAAUUCUAUAAUCAUUUUUAUAAUCGUCUAACAAUUUUAUAAUGGAUUGGUUGCUUACUAUCAAUUUUUUAAAAGUCAUGGCUUCUCCAGUCAUUUCUUGCUUAUCGAAAUUAUUUCAUGAGAUGGGUCUCUCCUUGUAUAUUUGAAAAUGAGGUUUGCUUCCUUCUACUUAAAAAACAACUUGAACAUACCUGUUUGGAUCACAUGGUCUUGUCCUGAUAACUUGGAAGAGGUUGCUUCAGCAUUGUUCUUAUUGUUGUGGUGGUUAUUAUUAAUAUUGUUUCAUAUUCUGUUUAAAAAAUUAAAAUUUUACACAAGA